rnacentral:misc_RNA from 1 species
GAUGAAGAACGUAGCGAAAUGCGAUAAGUAAUGUGAAUUGCAGAAUUCAGUGAAUCAUCGAAUCUUUGAACGCACAUUGCGCCCCUUGGUAUUCCAUUGGGCAUGCCUGUUCGAGCGUCAUUUACACCCUCAAGCUCCGCUUGGUGUUGGGCGUCUGUCCGCGCUUUCGGCGUGGACUCGCCCCAAAUACAUUGGCAGCGGCAUCGCCAGCUUCUCGCGCAGCACAUUGCGCCUGGGAAGGCUUCUGGCGGGCCUGCGUCCAUCAAGAACCCCCUCAGUUUGACCUCGAAUCAGGUAGGGAUACCCGCUGAACUUAAGCAUAUCAAUAAGCGGAGGA